rnacentral:rRNA from 1 species
GAUGAACGCUGGCGGCGUGCCUAAUACAUGCAAGUCGAGCGAACGGACGAGAAGCUUGCUUCCCUGAUGUUAGCGGCGGACGGGUGAGUAACACGUGGAUAACCUACCUAUAAGACUGGGAUAACUUCGGGAAACCGUAGCUAAUUCCGGCUAAUAUUUUGAACCGCAUGGUUCAAAAGUGAAAGACGGUCUUGCUGUCACUUAUAGAUGGAUCCGCGCUGCAUUAGCUAGUUGGUAAGGUAACGGCUUACCAAGGCAACGAUGCCUAGCCGACCUGAGAGGGUGAUCGGCCACACUGGAACUGAGACACGGUCCAGACUCCUACGGGAGGCAGCAGUAGGGAAUCUUCCGCAAUGGGCGAAAGCCUGACGGAGCAACGCCGCGUGAGUGAAGAAGGUCUUCGGAUCGUAAAACUCUGUUAUCGGGGAAGAACAUAUGUAUAAGUAACUGUGCGCAUCUUGACGGUACCUAAACAGAAAGCCACGGCUAACUACGUG